rnacentral:rRNA from 1 species
GAGAGUGGCGAACGGGUGAGUAAUGCGUGACCGACCUGCCCCAUACACCGGAAUAGCUCCUGGAAACGGGUGGUAAUGCCGGAUGCUCCAGUUGAUCGCAUGGUCUUCUGGGAAAGCUUUCGCGGUAUGGGAUGGGGUCGCGUCCUAUCAGCUUGACGGCGGGGUAACGGCCCACCGUGGCUUCGAUGGAUAGGGGUUCUGAGAGGAAGGUCCCCCACCAUUGGAACUGAGACACGGUCCAAACUCCUACGGGAGGCAGCAUG